rnacentral:SRP_RNA from 1 species
GCUGGGCGUGGUGGCGGGCACCUGUAAUCCCAGCUACUUGGGAGGCUGAGGCAGGAGAAUCACUUGAACCCAGGAGACGGAGGUUGCGGUGAACUGAUAUCGUGCCACUGCACUCCAGCCUGGGUGACAGAGUGAGAUUCCGUCUCAA